GCUGGGUAUAGUGGUGUAUGCCUGUAAUCCUCGCAAGUUAGGAGGCUGAGGCAGCAGGAUCACAAGUUGGAGGCCAGCCUCAGCGAUUUAGUGAGGCCCUAAGCAACUUAGUGAGACCCUGUUACAA
rnacentral:sRNA from 1 species